GGGCCUAUAGCUCAGUUGGUUAGAGCAGGGGACUCAUAAUCCCUUGGUCCUAGGUUCGAGUCCUAGUAGGCCCACCA
rnacentral:tRNA from 2 species